rnacentral:tRNA from 1 species
GCGGGGGUACCCAAGCCAGGUCCAAGGGGGAGGACUUAAGAUCCUCUGGCGUAGGCCGUCGUGGGUUCAAAUCCCACCCCCCGCACCA